rnacentral:rRNA from 1 species
UACGUAGGGUCCGAGCGUUGUCCGGAAUUAUUGGGCGUAAAGGGCUCGUAGGCGGUCUGUUGCGUCGGGAGUGAAAACUUACAGCUUAACUGUGAGCGUGCUUUCGAUACGGGCAGACUUGAGGCAUUCAGGGGAGAACGGAAUCCUGGUGUAGCGGUGAAAUGCGCAGAGUAUCAGGAGGAACACCGGUGGCGAAGGCGGUUCUCCUGGGCCGAUGACUGACGCUGGAGGAGCGAAAGCGUGGGGAGCGAACAGG